rnacentral:rRNA from 1 species
UACGUAGGGUGCAAGCGUUAUCCGGAAUUAUUGGGCGUAAAGAGCUCGUAGGCGGUUUUGUCGCGUCUGCUGUGAAAACUGGAGGCUCAACCUCCAGCCUGCAGUGGGUACGGGCAAACUAGAGUGCGGUAGGGGAGAUUGGAAUUCCUGGUGUAGCGGUGGAAUGCGCAGAUAUCAGGAGGAACACCGAUGGCGAAGGCAGGUCUCUGGGCUGUAACUGACGCUGAGGAGCGAAAGCAUGGGGAGCGAACAGG